rnacentral:misc_RNA from 1 species
UUUCCGUAGGUGAACCUGCGGAAGGAUCAUUAUUGUAUAACCGAGGUGCGAGGGCUGUCGCUGACCCGAAAGGUCGUGCACGCCCGAGUACCCUCACACACAUCCAUCUCACCCCUAUGUGCACCACCGCGUGGGUCCCCCUUUGGCUUGUUCGGAGGGGGGCUUACGUUUUCACACAAACUUUGUAUGCAGUGUAGAAUGUAUUUUUUGUUUUUGCGAUCACGCAAUCAAUACAACUUUCAACAACGGAUCUCUUGGCUCUC